rnacentral:rRNA from 1 species
UGGGGAAUAUUGCACAAUGGGCGCAAGCCUGAUGCAGCCAUGCCGCGUGUGUGAAGAAGGCCUUCGGGUUGUAAAGCACUUUCAGCGGGGAGGAAGGCGAUAAGGUUAAUAACCUUGUCGAUUGACGUUACCCGCAGAAGAAGCACCGGCUAACUCCGUGCCAGCAGCCGCGGUAAUACGGAGGGUGCAAGCGUUAAUCGGAAUUACUGGGCGUAAAGCGCACGCAGGCGGUCUGUCAAGUCGGAUGUGAAAUCCCCGGGCUCAACCUGGGAACUGCAUUCGAAACUGGCAGGCUAGAGUCUUGUAGAGGGGGGUAGAAUUCCAGGAGUAGCGGUGAAAUGCGUAGAGAUCUGGAGGAAUACCGGUGGCGAAGGCGGCCCCCUGGACAAAGACUGACGCUCAGGUGCGAAAGCGUGGGGAGCAAACAGG